rnacentral:rRNA from 1 species
UACGGAGGGGGCUAGCGUUGUUCGGAAUUACUGGGCGUAAAGCGCGCGUAGGCGGCUUUGUAAGUUAGAGGUGAAAGCCCGGAGCUCAACUCCGGAACCGCCUUUAAGACUGCAUCGCUAGAAUUGUGGAGAGGUGAGUGGAAUUCCGAGUGUAGAGGUGAAAUUCGUAGAUAUUCGGAAGAACACCAGUGGCGAAGGCGACUCACUGGACACAUAUUGACGCUGAGGUGCGAAAGCGUGGGGAGCAAACAGG